rnacentral:rRNA from 1 species
UACGUAGGGUGCAGGCGUUAAUCGGAAUUACUGGGCGUAAAGCGUGCGCAGGCGGCCUUUUAAGUCAGAUGUGAAAUCCCCGGGCUUAACCUGGGAACUGCGUUUGAAACUGGAAGGCUAGAGUGUGGAAGAGGGGGGUGGAAUUCCAGGUGUAGCAGUGAAAUGCGUAGAGAUCUGGAGGAACACCUAUUGCGAAGGCAGCUCGCUGGGACGUUACUGACGCUGAGACGCGAAAGCGUGGGGAGCAAACAGG